rnacentral:tRNA from 1 species
GGCCGUGUGGCGAAAUGGCAUCGCGUCUGACUACGAAUUCACUUGAAUUGGAAUCAGGAGAUUGCAGGUUCGACCCCUGUCUCGGUCA